GACGAACGCUGGCGGCGUGCUUAACACAUGCAAGUCGAACGGAAAGGCCCCUUUGGGGGUACUCGAGUGGCGAACGGGUGCGUAACACGUGCGUAACCUGCCCUUGACUUCGGGAUAACUUCAGGCAACUGGGGCUAAUACCGGAUAGGAAUCCUUGCUGCAUGGGCGGGGUUGGAAAGCUUCGGCGGUUUUGGAUGGACUCGCGGCUUAUCAGCUUGUUGGUGGGGUAGUGGCUUACCAAGGCUUUGACGGGUAGCCGGCCUGAGAGGGCGACCGGCCACAUUGUGACUGAGAGACUGCCCAGACUCCGACGGGAGGCAGCAGUGGGGAAGAUUGCACAAGGGGCGGAAGCCUGAUGCAGCAACGUCGCGUGCGGGAUGACGGCCUUCGGGUUGUAAACCGCUUUCAGCAGGGGCGAAGCUUGUGGUGACGGUACCUGCAGAAGAAGCAGCGGCUAACUACGUG
rnacentral:rRNA from 1 species